UACGUAGGUGGCAAGCGUUGUCCGGAUUCACUGGGCGUAAAGCGCGCGUAGGCGGUCUUCUACGUCUGGGGUGAAAUCCCCGGGCUCAACCCGGGAACUGCGUCCGAUACUGGCAGGCUUGAAUCCGGGAGAGGGAUGUGGAAUUCCAGGUGUAGCGGUGAAAUGCGUAGAUAUCUGGAGGAAUACCGGUGGCGAAGGCGGCAUCCUGGACCGGCAUUGACGCUGAGGAGCGAAAGCCAGGGGAGCAAAGCGGG
rnacentral:rRNA from 1 species